rnacentral:rRNA from 1 species
AUUGAACGCUGGCGGCAGGCCUAACACAUGCAAGUCGAGCGGUAGCACAGAGAGCUUGCUCUCGGGUGACGAGCGGCGGACGGGUGAGUAAUGUCUGGGAAACUGCCUGAUGGAGGGGGAUAACUACUGGAAACGGUAGCUAAUACCGCAUAACGUCGCAAGACCAAAGUGGGGGACCUUCGGGCCUCAUGCCAUCAGAUGUGCCCAGAUGGGAUUAGCUAGUAGGUGGGGUAACGGCUCACCUAGGCGACGAUCCCUAGCUGGUCUGAGAGGAUGACCAGCCACACUGGAACUGAGACACGGUCCAGACUCCUACGGGAGGCAGCAGUGGGGAAUAUUGCACAAUGGGCGCAAGCCUGAUGCAGCCAUGCCGCGUGUGUGAAGAAGGCCUUCGGGUUGUAAAGCACUUUCAGCGGGGAGGAAGGCGUUAAGGUUAAUAACCUUGGCGAUUGACGUUACCCGCAGAAGAAGCACCGGCUAACUCCGUGCCAGCAGCCGCGGUAAUACGGAGGGUGCAAGCGUUAAUCGGAAUUACUGGGCGUAAAGCGCACGCAGGCGGUCUGUCAAGUCGGAUGUGAAAUCCCCGGGCUCAACCUGGGAACUGCAUUCGAAACUGGCAGGCUAGAGUCUUGUAGAGGGGGGUAGAAUUCCAGGUGUAGCGGUGAAAUGCGUAGAGAUCUGGAGGAAUACCGGUGGCGAAGGCGGCCCCCUGGACAAAGACUGACGCUCAGGUGCGAAAGCGUGGGGAGCAAACAGGAUUAGAUACCCUGGUAGUCCACGCCGUAAACGAUGUCGAUUUGGAGGUUGUGCCCUUGAGGCGUGGCUUCCGGAGCUAACGCGUUAAAUCGACCGCCUGGGGAGUACGGCCGCAAGGUUAAAACUCAAAUGAAUUGACGGGGGCCCGCACAAGCGGUGGAGCAUGUGGUUUAAUUCGAUGCAACGCGAAGAACCUUACCUGGUCUUGACAUCCACAGAACUUUCCAGAGAUGGAUUGGUGCCUUCGGGAACUGUGAGACAGGUGCUGCAUGGCUGUCGUCAGCUCGUGUUGUGAAAUGUUGGGUUAAGUCCCGCAACGAGCGCAACCCUUAUCCUUUGUUGCCAGCGGUUAGGCCGGGAACUCAAAGGAGACUGCCAGUGAUAAACUGGAGGAAGGCGGGGAUGACGUCAAGUCAUCAUGGCCCUUACGACCAGGGCUACACACGUGCUACAAUGGCAUAUACAAAGAGAAGCGACCUCGCGAGAGCAAGCGGACCUCAUAAAGUAUGUCGUAGUCCGGAUUGGAGUCUGCAACUCGACUCCAUGAAGUCGGAAUCGCUAGUAAUCGUAGAUCAGAAUGCUACGGUGAAUACGUUCCCGGGCCU